CCUACGGGAGGCAGCAGUGAGGAAUAUUGGUCAAUGGGCGUAAGCCUGAACCAGCCAAGUCGCGUGAGGGAUGAAGGUUCUAUGGAUCGUAAACCUCUUUUAUAAGGGAAUAAAGUGUGGGACGUGUCCGAUUUUGUAUGUACCUUAUGAAUAAGGAUCGGCUAACUCCGUGCCAGCAGCCGCGGUAAUACGGAGGAGCCGAGCGUUAUCCGGAUUUAUUGGGUUUAAAGGGUGCGUAGGCUGCCUUUUAAGUCAGCGGUGAAAGUCUGUGGCUCAACCAUAGAAUUGCCGUUGAAACUGGGGGGCUUGAGUAUGUUUGCGGCAGGCGGAAUGCGUGUUGUAGCGGUGAAAUGCUUCGCUAUCACGCAGAACCCCGAUUGUGAAGGCAGCCUGCCACGCCAUGACUGACGCUGAUGCACGAAAGCGUGGGGAUCAAACAGGAUUAGAUACCCUAGUAGUC
rnacentral:rRNA from 1 species